UACGUAGGGAGCAAGCGUUGUCCGGAAUCAUUGGGCGUAAAGCGCGCGUAGGCGGCCCCGUAAGUCCGCUGUGAAAGUCAAAGGCUCAACCUUUGAAAGCCGGUGGAUACUGUGGGGCUUGAGUCCGGAAGAGGCGAGUGGAAUUCCUGGUGUAGCGGUGGAAUGCGCAGAUAUCAGGAGGAACACCAAUAGCGAAGGCAGCUCGCUGGGACGGUACUGACGCUAAGGCGCGAAAGCGUGGGGAGCGAACAGG
rnacentral:rRNA from 1 species